UACGAGGGGGGCAAGCGUUGUUCGGAAUUAUUGGGCGUAAAGGGCGCGUAGGCGGUGCGGUAAGUCACCUGUGAAAUCUCUGGGCUCAACUCAGAGUCUGCAGGCGAAACUGCCGUGCUGGAGUAUGGGAGAGGUGCGUGGAAUUCCCGGUGUAGCGGUGAAAUGCGUAGAUAUCUGGAGGAACACCGGUGGCGAAGGCGGCAUCCUGGACCGACACUGACACUGAGGAGCGAAAGCCAGGGGAGCAAACGGG
rnacentral:rRNA from 1 species